GUCCGAGCGGUAUUUCUUCUUCGGGAGAGAGAGAGCGGCGUACGGGUGCGGACCACUUAGAGCACCUGCCUUUAUCUAGAGGAUAGCCUUUCCAAGCCCUAUUAAAACUCUAUAAUAUAUUAAUUGGGAUCAAUUGAUAUUGAAAACUCCGGUGGAUAGAGAUGGGCACGCGCACCACUAGCUAGUUGGUGAGGUAACGGCUCCCACCAAGGCAAUGAUCUUUAGGGGGCCUGAGAGGGUGAUCCCCCACACUGGUACUGAGACACGGACCAGACUCCUACAGGAGGCAGCAGUGAGGAAUAUUGGUCAAUGGGUGCAAGCCUGAACCAGCCAUCCCGCGUGAAGGAUUAAGGUCCUAUGGAUUGUAAACUUCUUUUGUAUAGGGAUAAACCUACCCUCGUGAGGGUAGCUGACCGUAUUAUACGAAUAAGCACCGGCUAACUCCGUGCCUGCAGGCGCGGUAAUACGGAGGGUGCGAGCGUGAUCCGGAUUUAUUGGGUUUUUAAAGGGUCCGUAGGCGGACUUAUAAGUCACUGGUGAAAGCCUGUCGCUUACCGAUAGAACUGCCAUUGAUACUGUAAGCCGUGAGGAUAUUUGAGGUAGCUGGAAUAAGUAAUGUAGCGGGGAAAUGCAUAAAUAUUACUUAAAACACCGAUUGCGAAGGCGGGGUACCAAGAUAUAACUGACGCUGAAGGACGAAAGCCGGGGGGAGCGGACAGGAAUAAAUACCCUGGUCCUCCACGCUUCAAAACGAUGCUAACUCGUUUUUUGGGUCUUCUGGAAUCAAAGAACCAGGGGGAAAGGAUAAGUUAUCCCCCCUGGGGAGUACGCUCGCCAGAAUGAAAA
rnacentral:rRNA from 1 species